rnacentral:rRNA from 1 species
AUACGUAGGGAGCAAACGUUGUCCGGAUUUAUUGGGCGUAAAGGGCUCGUAGGCGGUUCAACAAGUCGGUCGUGAAAGCCCGGGGCUCAACCCCGGGACGCCGGUCGAAACUGUUGUGACUAGAGUUCGGUAGAGGUGAGUGGAAUUCUCGGUGUAGCGGUGGAAUGCGCAGAUAUCGAGAGGAACACCAUUAGCGAAGGCGGCUCACUGGGCCGAUACUGACGCUGAGGAGCGAAAGCGUGGGGAGCAAACAGGAUUAGAUACCCCAGUAGUCC